rnacentral:rRNA from 1 species
GACAGAGGGUGCAAACGUUGUUCGGAAUUACUGGGCGUAAAGCGCGUGUAGGCGGCUUGGCAAGUCGGGUGUGAAAGCCCUGGGCUCAACCUAGGAAGUGCACUCGAAACUGCCUCGCUUGAAUGCCGGAGAGGAAAGCGGAAUUCUCGGUGUAGAGGUGAAAUUCGUAGAUAUCGAGAGGAACACCGGUGGCGAAGGCGGCUUUCUGGGUCGAUACUGACGCUGAGGUGCGAAAGCGUGGGGAGCAAACAGG